UACGGGGGGGGGCAAGCGUUGUUCGGAAUUACUGGGCGUAAAGGGCGCGUAGGCGGCCCGCUAAGUCGAACGUGAAAUCCCCCGAGCUCAACUCGGGAACUGCGUCCGAUACUGGUGGGCUUGAAUCCGGGAGAGGGAUGCGGAAUUCCAGGUGUAGCGGUGAAAUGCGUAGAUAUCUGGAGGAACACCGGUGGCGAAGGCGGCAUCCUGGACCGGUAUUGACGCUGAGGCGCGAAAGCCAGGGGAGCAAACGGG
rnacentral:rRNA from 1 species